AGAAACCUUCCUAAAUGUAUUGUCAGGCAUGCCAUAAAGCCCUCGAGCUACGAUGGAGUAAAUUCCAAAGAAAUGCAACUCUCUUGAAGCGCCAAUUAACAUGGCAAUUUAAUGGCCACUUGGGUAAGAAAGGGAUCAGUGGGCACAUCAAAGUUUGUUAUGAAGAGAAGACCCUUUCGAUAGAGGUAAAAAUGCCCCAAGAUUCAUCAAGCAGCAGUGUUCGUGACACACGAGGACUUUCAGGUUUCCUUCUCAUUCUUUACUAAUACUUGGAAAGUGAAUCCAAGAAACAACGGGCGAAAGCCCUAGUGCAAAAAAGUUGACUGUUAAAGUCACUUUUCUCAAAUUUGUAUAUAUACUCACACCACAAUCAAUCAACUGGGCCUUAAUUCAUAGAUAGUUGGGUCCGCAUUGUGAUAGCAUGUCGUAGUGGUUUGGGAAAGAAGUUUUCUUAACACCUUGAGAAAGAUCAACUUUAGAUCAUUAAAUUGAUGGGGAGCUGGUUUGUUGCUUUUAAUCCCUGAAGUUCAUAUUUUCUAUCUAGAUAGCGGCAGAUACAAUAUGAAUAGUUCACACAUAGAGGAUAUACUGAGAGGUCUAAUAAGAUUAUUCGGUCAUGUCCUAUGUGAACUAAGUUAGUAGAUGGCAUAUUUGAACUAUUCUAUCUUGGCUCAUUUACGGAUCAUUUAAGUGUAAAUCAUUACUUCUAGUAACGUAACACUAGGGCUGUAUUUUGUCCCGGGCCCGGGCCUUAGUGGGCCUAACGGGCCGGGCCUCGCGGUCCCGGGCUUCGUGGUCCCGGGCUCUGGCGGUCCCGGGCCUGGCGGUCCCGGUCUUCGUGGGCCUAAUGGGUGGAACCGGCCCGUGACGGGCCUAAGCCCACAUGGUCCUGUGCUUAACGGGCCGGGCUCGUGGGCUUCGCGGGCCUAG